rnacentral:lncRNA from 1 species
AGCAUUAGGCCUAUCAAGUGUCACGCACAGCUCAAGAGGAAAUGCUAUCUGGAAAUCCCCCAACUCCCAUGGAAAUUCCCAGCUGGCUCCCUGUACACUGCAGAUACCUGAAGUGGUUUUGAAGACUGGGCAGCUAAGACUUAAGUGAAGAAGAAUUCCUCCCCUGCAAGGAUGACCAAGAACCCAGCCGCUCUGUUUCCUUCCCGAUUGGAGUCCUCUUCUCCACUG